rnacentral:snRNA from 1 species
GAACGUGAGGGCAAUCUGGCUGCAGCAUCUGUCACCCCAUUGAUCGCCAGGGUUGAUUUGGCUGAUCUGGCUGGCUAGGCGGGUGUCCCCUGCCUCCCUCACCACUCCCCGUGCAUCCUUCCCGAAGCUGUGCGCUCAGUCGAAGAGGACGACCUUCCCUGAAUAGAGGAGGACGGGUCUUCAGUCAAGGGUAUACGAGUAGCUGCACCUCCUUGCUAGAACCUCCAAACAAGCUCUCAAGAAUAUACAAUGGAGUUUGGGGAAACAGCUCAACAGUUAGAAGCAUUUGCCAUUUAAGCAUG